CAGCCGCCGCGGGAAUACAGAGGGUGCUAGCGUUAAUCGGAUUUACUGGGCGUAAAGCGUGCGUAGGCGGCUUCUUAAGUCGGAUGUGAAAUCCCUGAGCUUAACUUAGGAAUUGCAUUCGAUACUGGGAAGCUAGAGUAUGGGAGAGGAUGGUAGAAUUCCAGGUGUAGCGGUGAAAUGCGUAGAGAUCUGGAGGAAUACCGAUGGCGAAGGCAGCCAUCUGGCCUAAUACUGACGCUGAGGUACGAAAGCAUGGGGAGCAAACAGGAUUAGAUACCCCGGUAGUCCCUGUCUCUUAUAA
rnacentral:rRNA from 1 species